rnacentral:rRNA from 1 species
AUUGAACGCUGGCGGCGUGCCUAACACAUGCAAGUCGAGCGGUAACAGGUGUAGCAAUACAUGCUGACGAGCGGCGGACGGGUGAGUAACGCUUGGGAAUCUGCCUAUUAGUGGGGGACAACCCGGGGAAACUCGGGCUAAUACCGCAUACGCUCUACGGAGGAAAGCCGGGGACCGCAAGGCCUGGCGCUAAUAGAUGAGCCCAAGUCGGAUUAGCUAGUUGGUAGGGUAAUGGCCUACCAAGGCGACGAUCCGUAACUGGUCUGAGAGGACGACCAGUCACACCGGAACUGAGACACGGUCCGGACUCCUACGGGAGGCAGCAGUGGGGAAUAUUGGACAAUGGGCGAAAGCCUGAUCCAGCGACGCCGCGUGGGUGAAGAAGGCCUGCGGGUUGUAAAGCCCUUUCAGUGGGGAAGAAAAGCCUCGACCUAACACGUCGGGGUCUUGACGUAACCCAUAGAAGAAGCACCGGCUAACUCUGUGCCAGCCGCCGCCGU